rnacentral:rRNA from 1 species
GAUUCAUGAGAGUCCGACUGUUUCAUUUUUAUAUAUAAAAACUAUCCUUGAAGUGAAGAGACUUCAAUUUUAUAAAAAGACAAAAAGACCCUAUUGAGCUUUAUCUAAUAUAAGCGUACAGUUAAAAUCUCAAACUCCUCCUUAAAAUAGAUUUUGUUGGGGCGACAUAAGAAGAUUAAAUCUUCUUUAUACUUUAAAGGUCACCCUCCACACUAGUGAUCCGUUAUCAACGAUUAAAGGAAUCAGCUACCAUAGGGAUAACAGGCUAAUCUUCCUUGAGAGCUCAAAUUGACAGGAAGGUUUGGCACCUCGAUGU